GAGUAAUGUCUGGGAAACUGCCUGAUGGAGGGGGAUAACUACUGGAAACGGUGGCUAAUACCGCAUAACGUCGCAAGACCAAAGAGGGGGACCUUCGGGCCUCUUGCCAUCAGAUGUGCCCAGAUGGGAUUAGCUUGUUGGUGAGGUAACGGCUCACCAAGGCGACGAUCCCUAGCUGGUCUGAGAGGAUGACCAGCCACACUGGAACUGAGACACGGUCCAGACUCCUACGGGAGGCAGCAGUGGGGAAUAUUGCACAAUGGGCGCAAGCCUGAUGCAGCCAUGCCGCGUGUAUGAAGAAGGCCUUCGGGUUGUAAAGUACUUUCAGCGGGGAGGAAGGUGUUGUGGUUAAUAACCACAGCAAUUGACGUUACCCGCAGAAGAAGCACCGGCUAACUCCGUGCCAGCAGCCGCGGUAAUACGGAGGGUGCAAGCGUUAAUCGGAAUUACUGGGCGUAAAGCGCACGCAGGCGGUCUGUCAAGUCGGAUGUGAAAUCCCCGGGCUCAACCUGGGAACUGCAUUCGAAACUGGCAGGCUUGAGUCUUGUAGAGGGGGGUAGAAUUCCAGGUGUAGCGGUGAAAUGCGUAGAGAUCUGGAGGAAUACCGGUGGCGAAGGCGGCCCCCUGGACAAAGACUGACGCUCAGGUGCGAAAGCGUGGGGAGCAAACAGGAUUAGAUACCCUGGUAGUCCACGCCGUAAACGAUGUCUACUUGGAGGUUGUGCCCUUGAGGCGUGGCUUCCGGAGCUAACGCGUUAAGUAGACCGCCUGGGGAGUACGGCCGCAAGGUUAAAACUCAAAUGAAUUGACGGGGGCCCGCACAAGCGGUGGAGCAUGUGGUUUAAUUCGAUGCAACGCGAAGAACCUUACCUGGUCUUGACAUCCACGGAAGUUUUCAGAGAUGAGAAUGUGCCUUCGGGAACCGUGAGACAGGUGCUGCAUGGCUGUCGUCAGCUCGUGUUGUGAAAUGUUGGGUUAAGUCCCGCAACGAGCGCAACCCUUAUCCUUUGUUGCCAGCGGUUAGGCCGGGAACUCAAAGGAGACUGCCAGUGAUAAACUGGAGGAAGGUGGGGAUGACGUCAAGUCAUCAUGGCCCUUACGACCAGGGCUACACACGUGCUACAAUGGCGCAUACAAAGAGAAGCGACCUCGCGAGAGCAAGCGGACCUCAUAAAGUGCGUCGUAGUCCGGAUUGGAGUCUGCAACUCGACUCCAUGAAGUCGGAAUCGCUAGUAAUCGUGGAUCAGAAUGCCACGGUGAAUACGUUCCCGGGCCUUGUACACACCGCCCGUCACACCAUGGGAGUGGGUUGCAAAAGAAGUAGGUAGCUUAACCUUCGGGAGGGCGCUUACCACUUUGUGAUUCAUGACUGGGGUGAAGUCGUAACAAGGUAACCGUAGGGGAACCUGCGGUUGGAUCACCUCCUUACCUUAAAGAAGC
rnacentral:rRNA from 1 species